AUUUUUACAAUGAAGAGUUUGAUCCUGGCUCAGGAUGAACGCUAGCGGCAGGCUUAACACAUGCAAGUCGAGG
rnacentral:rRNA from 1 species